CCUACGGGAGGCAGCAGUGAGGAAUAUUGGUCAAUGGACGGGAGUCUGAACCAGCCAAGUAGCGUGAAGGAUGACUGCACAGUGGGUUGUAAACUUCUUUUAUCUGGGAAUAAAGCAGGGUAUGCAUACCCUCUUGUAUGUACCAUAUGAAUAAGGAUCGGCUAACUCCGUGCCAGCAGCCGCGGUAAUACGGAGGAUCCGAGCGUUAUCCGGAUUUAUUGGGUUUAAAGGGAGGGGAGGUGGAUUGGUAAGUCAGUGGGGAAAGUGUGCGGCUCAACCGUAAAACUGCAGUUGAAACUGGCAGUCUUGAGUAGAGGAGAGGUGGGCGGAAUGCGUGGUGUAGCGGUGAAAUGCUUAGAUAUCACGAAGAACUCCGAUUGCGAAGGCAGCUCACUGGACUGAAACUGACACUGAUGCACGAAAGUGUGGGUAUCAAACAGGAUUAGAUACCCUGGUAGUC
rnacentral:rRNA from 1 species